GACGAACGCUGGCGGCGUGCUUAACACAUGCAAGUCGAACGGAAAGGCCCUGCUUUUGUGGGGUGCUCGAGUGGCGAACGGGUGAGUAACACGUGAGUAACCUGCCCUUGACUUUGGGAUAACUUCAGGAAACUGGGGCUAAUACCGGAUAGGAGCUCCUGCUGCAUGGUGGGGGUUGGAAAGUUUCGGCGGUUGGGGAUGGACUCGCGGCUUAUCAGCUUGUUAGUGGGGUAGUGGCUUACCAAGGCUUUGACGGAUAGCCGGCCUGAGAGGGUGGCCGGGCACAAGGGGACUAAGAGACGGACCAGAAGCCAACGGGAGGCAGCGGGGGGGAGUAUGACAGAGUGAGCGGAAGCGUGAGACGGCGACGCCGCGUGCGGGAUGACGGCCUUCGGGUUAUAAACCGCUUUCGCCUGUGACGAAGCGUGAGUGACGGUAAUGAAUAAAGAAGCACCGGCUAACUACGUG
rnacentral:rRNA from 1 species